rnacentral:misc_RNA from 1 species
CUUGGUUGGUCGCGCUCUCCCCGAAGAGAGAAUGCUCCUGUCCAGUCGACCGUUUAGCUCGCUUCCACGCCUCCGUCGCUCGCUUGCCCGGUGAGAUAUUAUCUACCACACCGAACAGAACGGGCCACGAUGGGCUUCCGCUCGCUCGGGUUCGCUUCACUUCAAGGUACCGUUCGCACGAGGCAAAGGGAGACCUCAUAACCCCUCCUUUAGGAGGGAUGUGAGAAACGACGCUCAGACAGAUGUGCUCCUGGGAAUGCCCAAGUGCGCCAUUUGCGUUCAAAGAUUCGAUGAUUCACUAAAUUCUGCAAUUCACAUUACUUAUCGCAGUUUGCUGCGUUCUUCAUCGAUGCACGAGCCAAGAGAUCCACCGUUAAAAGUUGUUCGCUUUUAAGGCUAACUCUCGAACCGAAGUUCGAGGAUCGGAUACGAUUAGGCAGUAAGGUUUGACGUGGGUAAAAACUAAUUCGGGGCCCGCCAAGCGGACCGAAGUCCACUCACCCACUGGCGAUUUAACGCUCUUGCGAGCGACCCCGAAAUACAGCAUAAGGUUACCGCUAAGGCAGUUAGGAUUGGAUUCGUUAAUGAUCCUUCCGCAGGUUCACCUACGGAAACCUUGUUACGACUUUUACUUCCUCUAAAUGAUCAAGUUUGAGCAAGUUCUCGGCGGCGUCGCGCCUCGCGGCAUGACGUCGCCAAUCUCGAGAUCUCACUAAACCAUUCAAUCGG